rnacentral:rRNA from 1 species
AAAUGAAUUGACGGGGACCCGCACAAGCGGUGGAUGAUGUGGUUUAAUUCGAUGCAACGCGAAAAACCUUACCUACCCUUGACAUGGCAAGAAUCCUGGAGAGAUCUGGGAGUGCUCGAAAGAGAGCUUGCACACAGGUGCUGCAUGGCCGUCGUCAGCUCGUGUCGUGAGAUGUUGGGUUAAGUCCCGCAACGAGCGCAACCCUUGUCAUCAGUUGCUACGAAAGGGCACUCUGAUGAGACUGCCGGUGACAAACCGGAGGAAGGUGGGGAUGACGUCAGGUCCUCAUGGCCCUUAUGGGUAGGGCUACACACGUCAUACAAUGGCCGGUACAGAGGGCUGCCAACCCGCGAGGGGGAGCCAAUCCCAGAAAACCGGUCGUAGUCCGGAUCGUAGUCUGCAACUCGACUGCGUGAAGUCGGAAUCGCUAGUAAUCGCGGAUCAGCUUGCCGCGGUGAAUACGUUCCCGGGUCUUGUACACACCGCCCGU